AGUCGAGCGGAUGAGAGGAGAUUGCUCCUGGAUUCAGCGGCGGACGGGUGAGUAAUGCCUAGGAAUCUGCCUGGUAGUGGGGGACAACGUUUCGAAAGGAACGCUAAUACCGCAUACGUCCUACGGGAGAAAGCAGGGGACCUUCGGGCCUUGCGCUAUCAGAUGAGCCUAGGUCGGAUUAGCUAGUUGGUGAGGUAAUGGCUCACCAAGGCGACGAUCCGUAACUGGUCUGAGAGGAUGAUCAGUCACACUGGAACUGAGACACGGUCCAGACUCCUACGGGAGGCAGCAGUGGGGAAUAUUGGACAAUGGGCGAAAGCCUGAUCCAGCCAUGCCGCGUGUGUGAAGAAGGUCUUCGGAUUGUAAAGCACUUUAAGUUGGGAGGAAGGAUUGUAGAUUAAUACUCUGCAAUUUUGACGUUACCGACAGAAUAAGCACCGGCUAACUCUGUGCCAGCAGCCGCGGUAAUACAGAGGGUGCAAGCGUUAAUCGGAAUUACUGGGCGUAAAGCGCGCGUAGGUGGUUUGUUAAGUUGGAUGUGAAAUCCCCGGGCUCAACCUGGGAACUGCAUCCAAAACUGGCAAGCUAGAGUAUGGUAGAGGGUGGUGGAAUUUCCUGUGUAGCGGUGAAAUGCGUANAUAUAGGAAGGAACACCAGUGGCGAAGGCGACCACCUGGACUGAUACUGACACUGANGUGCGAAAGCGUGGGGAGCAAACAGGAUUAGAUACCCUGGUAGUCCACGCCGUANACGAUGUCAACUAGCCGUUGGGAGCCUUGAGCUCUUACUGGCGCAGCUAACGCAUUAAGUUGACCGCCUGGUGAGUAC
rnacentral:rRNA from 1 species